rnacentral:sRNA from 1 species
AACUAGCCCCGAUUGUAGCGGUUACCCCGCAACUAGCUUUGGGAAAAGCAUUGGCGUGAGGAGUAUGAGCGGAAAGCGGGAAAUAGC